rnacentral:lncRNA from 1 species
AAGGCUGCUGUCCAGGUCGGGGAGGUUCAUGUCUGUAACCGUCAUGGAGGGGCUGAAGAGCUGCCAGAGGAAAAAACGGUGAGGGCAGGGCAGGGGGGGCACGGCCGGGAGCCCCCCCGUGCCCCCCGUGCCCCCCACGCACUGUACUCACAUCCAGCAGCGCGCUCGUGUCGACGCUGAAGCCGUGCGUGGUCAGCAUCGUCUGAAGGUUGUCCAGGUUGGAGUCGAUGGUGUCCAGGUGGUCGUUGAGCUCAUUCCUGUGCAGGAGAGAGGCGAGCACGGGGGUGGUCAGCGCUGAGGGAGCCCCUCCUGCCCGUGGGGGUGGGCUCGGGGUGGGUGCAGUGCCAGGGAGCAGCACCGCAGCCAUGCCCUCGCCCUCUGCUGUCCCCAAGUCCCUGCAUGGAGAGGGCCGAGGGGAGCAACCCGAAGCUCUGGGCAGCACUGGGACGAGCACAGCCGCGUGCAGCACACGCAGCGAGCCCCCCACGCACUCUCCUGCUCCUGGUUUUUACGCUCAGGCUGCUUCAGGGCCGCAGAGCAGCGGGUGGCGUCCCCCUCCUGGUGCCACGAGCCCACCAGGCUCCCUGCAGGGAUCUGUAACUUUUUCUGGCCUAAAAUCCACGAACACUCAGCAAAUAAACGCCUUAUCCACCUGCGCGCUUUUAAAUGACUUCCAAAGUCAUUCAAAUGACUUCCAAAGUCAUUUAAAAGCACCCGAGAUGUUUUGGCUGCCCCCCCCAGCCCCAUCCCCAGCCGCUGGCUGCCCCCAGGAGCCCGUGGGCAGUGCCCAGCGCUGCAGGCACAGCGCUGCAGAGGCACAGAGCUGCUUUUGUUCCCCGCGCUGCUUUUCCUCCCAAACGUCCCCGUUUCUGACGGCGCGGCCUUGCACCGAUUAUCUCAUUUCUGCAGGAAAAAAAAAGCAAUUCCGGCCCCUGAGCUCUGCCCAGGUCACACGCCGCCUUGUGAUGUGUCUGCACCUGGGAGAUGGGCCCGGGGGGAGCACAGCAGAGCCCCAGCGGGCAAAUAACGACCGGAGAGCAACAGCUCCAGCAGGGACCCCCCCCGGCAGCCCGCGGGGAGGCAGGACACGCGCUCGGGAGCGCUUUGUAGCUGGGGCCAGCUUACAUUUCCCCUUUGAAUCGCUCUCCACCUU